CCUACGGGUGGCUGCAGUGGGGAAUAUUGGACAAUGGGCGAAAGCCUGAUCCAGCCAUGCCGCGUGUGUGAAGAAGGCCUUCGGGUUGUAAAGCACUUUCAGUGGGGAAGAAAGCCUUGGGGCUAAUACCCUCGAGGAAGGACAUCACCCACAGAAGAAGCACCGGCUAACUCCGUGCCAGCAGCCGCGGUAAUACGGAGGGUGCGAGCGUUAAUCGGAAUUACUGGGCGUAAAGCGCGCGUAGGCGGUCUGAUAAGUCGGUUGUGAAAGCCCCGGGCUCAACCUGGGAACGGCAUCCGGAACUGUCAGGCUAGAGUGCAGGAGAGGAAGGUAGAAUUCCCGGUGUAGCGGUGAAAUGCGUAGAGAUCGGGAGGAAUACCAGUGGCGAAGGCGGCCUUCUGGACUGACACUGACGCUGAGGUGCGAAAGCGUGGGUAGCAAACAGGAUUAGAUACCCCAGUAGUC
rnacentral:rRNA from 1 species